rnacentral:rRNA from 1 species
CCUACGGGUGGCAGCAGUGGGGAAUAUUGCACAAUGGGCGAAACCCUGAUGCAGCAACGCCGCGUGAGUGAGGAAGUACUUCGGUUUGUAAAGCUCUAUCAGUAGGGAAUAGCGAUGAAGGUCCCUGAAAAUGUAGUCUCGGCUAACUACGUACCAGCAGCCGCGGUAAUACGCAGGGGGCCAGCGUCAUACGGAUGGACUGGGUGUAAAGGGAGCGUAGGCGGAAAGGCAAGUCAGGAGUGAAAGCCCAAGGCUCAACCAUGGAACUGCUGUUGAAACUGGCAAACUAGAGUACGGGAGAGGUAAGAGGAAUUCCGAGUGUAGCGGUGAAAUGCGUAGAUAUUAGGAGGAACACCAGUGGCGAAGGCGUCUUACUGGACCGAAACUGACGUUGAGGCUCGAAAGCGUGGGGAGCAAACAGGAUUAGAUACCCGGGUAGUC